UAGGUUCUUCAUUAUCUAUCAGUGUUCUUCAUUAUAAAUCAGUGCUAUGUUUGUUGGUGU
rnacentral:sRNA from 1 species